rnacentral:misc_RNA from 1 species
UAAUAAAAGUGUUUUAUGGCACUUUUUCAAACAAAUCCAUAUCCACCUUGUGUGCAAUGUUUUUUUUUUUUAAAUAAACACUUUAUUUUUUAAUUGCCAAUUUAUCUGAAGAUCAGUAUUAUUAUGAAUUAACUUAAUUCAAAAUA